UGAACUUUGAACGCUUGUGGCUUCAGGCUGUUGCUGACGGGACCUUCACGGGUUUCGUACGUGCACGUCUGAGUUGCAACUUUCUUCGUCCACCUGUGCACACUCUGUAGGUCUGGAUACCCCAUUGGAAGGGUGCGGUCUUUUAAAACGGGCGCUCCCUUUACCUUCCAGGCCUAUGUCUUAUAAACACUUUUGUAUGUAACGAAUGUCAUUGAUUAUUGGACUUUACCGUCCUUUAAACUAAAUACAACUUUCAACAACGGAUCUCUUGGGUCUCGCAUCGAUGAAGAACGCAGCGAAAUGCGAUAACUAAUGUGAAUUGCAGAAUUCAGUGAAUCAUCGAGUCUUUGAACGCACCUUGCGCCCUUUGGUACUCCGAAGGGCAUGCCUGUUUGAGUGUCAGUAACUUCUCAACCUCCCUCACUUUGUUGUGAGCUGGCGGAUUGGACGUGGGGGCUUGCUGGACCUCUUCUUGGUUCAGCUCCCCUGAAAUGCAUUAGCAGAAACCGUUACCUUUUGGCGCGCUGCAGCUGWGAUAAUUAUCUACGGCUAUGGCUGGGCUGACUGUGUUGUAGCGCUUGUUCGUCUCUGAAGGGUUUGCCUUAGUUGGCUUUCCUUUUGCCUUCUCUUUCACGAGAGAUACUUGUGA
rnacentral:rRNA from 1 species